GAAAAGGCCAGCAGAGACAACAGAGAGAAGAAUAUGACCUGUGGCCUCAGGGUUUGGGGCCAGGAAGAUGGCUAGCUCACCGGGUGAACGCAUGUGCCGUGCAACCAUGAAAACUGAGUUCAGCCCAUGGCGGAGUGAGAGAACUGACUCCUGAAGGCACAGGUAUCUGGAGUCCUGACACCCAAACCAUCAGCCCCUGGUCCUGAUGUCAACUUGUGGAUGCAGCCAUCCUGGAAACACAGGAGGCAAGUGAAGCAGAAGGAGGGGGAGGGACCACAAGCCCCUGUCCUGGGCUUCUGUCAGCCUGUGCGAAGUCGAAACAGGGAAGGACUCUUGCCCAAGGGGCUCUUGACUGAAGUUACAGCAGCCUGGGGUGCUGGCAGCCUGGCAGUGCCCUCCCUCUGUCUCAGCCGCGGUCACUUCUCAGCCUUCUUUCCCACCACAGAUGUCUCAGCCACCUCAUUCACUGGCUAGCAUAGCAAAGCCCUCAACACAGCAGAGAAACACCAAAGCAGUGCAGAAAGCACCAUGCUUUUGGGAGGCUCUGGCCAAGAAGAUGCCACAGAGAUACCUCCUCACCGUUAUGAUUCCCGAGAUGAGGAUGAUCACCCCCAAGAGCCUGGGGCACAGAGGCACGCCGUUCAUCCAGUGAAAGAUACUUAAUGGAUGCGAGUUAUUUUACUCUUCCCGUUUUCUCUUGUUUCUUCCGAGAGGGGUAAGUGCUGUUUUGUACCUGCUGUGACUAGCAGGGACUCACUCUGAGAACACCAAGUACCAGAGCUGCUAGCCCAGGGCAGAGAGGCCCCUCGCUGCCUUGUCACCACCUCCACAACUGUCCCCUGGUGAAUGUAGCUCUCUCUACCAUGGCCACCAGCCUACAGCAGGGCUGUGGCAUCUCAUACAGAGUCCCGUGGAUUGCCCAGAGCUGGAGCCCGUGAUUUUCCGUAGGGAAAGGAGUUAUGAUGUGUAAGCUUGGCACACCUGGGAAAAGGGAGCCUCGGCUGAGGGACUGUCUCUCAGACUGGUCUGUGGGGUGUGUUUACUUUACUAAUUGAAGUAAAGGGCUGGGCACCCUCUGGGCAGCACGACCGCUGAGCCGGUCAGCCAGGACUGUGGAGGAAAGGUGGCUGAGUAUGAGCCGGAGGGCCGAGCCCGUAAGGGGCAUCUCCUCUAAGAUCUCUGCUUCAGUCUCUCUGCCUCCAGAUCCCGGCCUUGGGCUCCUGCCCCGUUCCCCACUACGGUAGACUAUAACCUGUAAACCCAAUAAACUCUCUCCUUCUCCAAGCUGCCUCUGGUCAGAGUGGCUUUUAUCACAGUAACAAGAAGCAAGUCGAAACAGGGACCACAUAGCUAUAGAACCCUGGGUGUUGCCUCUGUGUAAAAGGCGGAGGCUGACAGCAUUGGUGCUGCCUGAAGAGGUCGGCCCCUAUGUGCGGGAGCCAAGAACAAAAAAUCAGAGAUUUAUGCCGGGGCGGUGGUGGCACACGCCUGUAAUCCCAGCACUCUGGGAGGCAGAGGCAGGAGGAUUUCUGAGUUUGAGGCCAGCCUGGUCUACAGAGUGAGUUCCAGGACAGCCAGGGCUAUACAG